UAUGGUUAUACCGCCAUUGCUCGGUCGC
rnacentral:sRNA from 1 species